rnacentral:rRNA from 1 species
AACGAACGCUGGCGGCGCGCCUAAUACAUGCAAGUCGAGCGAGAAGACGUAGCAAUACGUUUGUAAAGCGGCGAACGGGUGAGGAAUACAUGGGUAACCUACCCUCGAGUGGGGAAUAACUAACCGAAAGGUUAGCUAAUACCGCAUACGACUCCUGGUCUGCGGAUCGGGAGGGAAAGCGAUACCGUGGGUAUCGCGCUCUUGGAUGGGCUCAUGUCCUAUCAGCUUGUUGGUGAGGUAACGGCUCACCAAGGCUUCGACGGGUAGCUGGUCUGAGAGGACGAUCAGCCACACUGGCACUGCGACACGGGCCAGACUCCUACGGGAGGCAGCAGUAAGGAAUAUUGCGCAAUGGGCGACAGCCUGACGCAGCGACGCCGCGUGGGGGAUGAAGGUCUUCGGAUUGUAAACCCCUUUCGGCAGGGAAGAUGGAACGGGUAACCGUUCGGACGGUACCUGCAGAAGCAGCCACGGCUAACUUCGUGCCAGCCGCCGCGGUAAUAC